AGCGCAUGCCUACGGGAGCAGCAGUGGGGAAUAUUGGGCAAUGGGCGCAAGCCUGACCCAGCAACGCCGCGUGAAGGAAGAAGGCUUUCGGGUUGUAAACUUCUUUUGACAGGGAAGAGCAGAAGACGGUACCUGUCGAAUAAGCCACGGCUAACUACGUGCC
rnacentral:rRNA from 1 species